rnacentral:rRNA from 1 species
CUUGGUGCUUUUGCCGCGGUGGGUACACCUCUUCCCAUUCCGAACAGAGAAGUUAAGCACCGUUGGGCUGAUGGUACUGCAUGGGCGACUGUGUGGGAGAGUAAGUCGGUGCCAAGC